rnacentral:rRNA from 1 species
CCUACGGGGGGCAGCAGUGGGGAAUAUUGCACAAUGGGGGAAACCCUGAUGCAGCGACGCCGCGUGAGUGAAGAAGUAUUUCGGUAUGUAAAGCUCUAUCAGCAGGGAAGAAGAAAGACGGUACCUGACUCAGAAGCCCCGGCUAACUACGUACCAGCAGCCGCGGUAAUACGGAGGGUGCAAGCGUUAUCCGGAAUUACUGGGUGUAAAGGGAUCGUAGACGGGUGUGCAAGUCUGAAGUGAAAGCCCAGGGCUGAACCCUGGGACUGCUUUGGAAACUGGGGAGCUAGAGUGCUGGAGAGGUGAGUGGAAUUCCUAGUGUAGCGGUGAAAUGCGUAGAUAUUAGGAGGAACACCAGUGGCGAAGGCGGCUUACUGGACAGUAACUGACGUUGAGGCGCGAAAGCGUGGGGAGCAAACAGGAUUAGAUACCCUAGUAGUC